rnacentral:lncRNA from 1 species
ACAGCCACAAGGUCCUGUUUUAUAAAUGCAGCACUCAUUCUAGUGGUUUCCUGAAAUAGCUCUAUUCUUGUCCCAGUUGUUUUACUUAUAUGCUUGCACAAUUCUUCCUAAAAUUUCUGCUGAUUUCUGAUUGUCAGUUGAUGUAUAUGAAUGAAAGAUAAGAUUGGUUGCUAUAGGUAGCUUGUAUGGGUUUCUCUGUACUUGAGUAGAUUCUUCCACUCAGCCUCUGCCUUGAGUGAGUGGGCCGGGUGAAUGGACUUAGAGAGCUUAUUAGUCAUAUGUCUUUGUUCAAUGUGCAGGUGGAGAUCCAAUAUCCCCAAGAAAGGAGGGCCCUCGCCUCGGGGUAAAAUGCUUUCCCGAAGUUAGCUCACCAGCCUCUGUCCUCACCUUCCCUGAGAAGUGAAGCCCAGGGCUAC